CGGGGUCGUUCUUGUUGUCGUCCAGCGUUUUGAAGCCUUUGGCUCGGAGAGCGCUGCGGAAGUUCCUCUUCCAGACGGAGGCCUCUCCUUGAGCUCGGCCGUUGCCGCUCACCUCCGCCCAGGCCUACGAGCGUUGACAGGAAUCCUGCCUCAAAGCGUGUUUCCAUGGGACUGAGAACUCCGUCCGCUCCGGGUUGGUCCACUGGACACCAGGAUACCUGCAGCUGUCAAUCUGAGCCCGCAGCCAUGGGAUGAGCAGCGGUUUGGAAUGAGCCAUGUCUGCGGGAGCAACAAGGAAAUCGAUAGAGUGUCGGCGCCAACGUCGGGACUCCACGUUAUCUCUCGGAAGAAUUGCUGUGUUGGCAAACACUUCAGGACCGAGUGCUGGUAAUGCCAAACUCAGCAGUUUGAAGGGAAAAGGCUGGACUUUAUAAGGUGGUGAAAGAAUUGUUUAUUUAUUUUCUAUUGGACUGUUCACAUUUCUGCCCUCCUGCUAAAUUAUUAGUGGCAGGCGGCAGCUUGGCUUCUACUGUAGUUCUGCAGUGUCCUACUGUAGCUAAACAUCAGGAAAGAGGAAGUAGAAGCACCAAACAAUAGAAGCUCAGCAUGUAUGUCAACAUAAAAAAACAGGUACAGUAAUUAUUAGUUUUUAUUCAAGGGAAACGUAUUCAAACACUGAGAAACAUGCUGAGUCAUGCUUUUCUUUCGCUGUUUGUUUUUAU